rnacentral:rRNA from 1 species
UAAUCUACCUUUGGAUGGGGAAUAACAAUCGGAAACGAUUGCUAAUACCGCAUAAUGCAGCGGCACCUAAUGGUGACAGUUGUUAAAGCGGGGGAUCGAAAGACCUCGCGUCUGAAGAGGAGCCUGCGGCGGAUUAGCUUGUUGGUAAGGUAACGGCUUACCAAGGCGACGAUCCGUAGCCGGCCUGAGAGGGCGGUCGGCCACACUGACACUGACAUACGGGUCAG